UACGUAGGGGGGCAAGCGUUGUCCGGAUUCAUUGGGCGUAAAGAGCGUGUAGGCGGUCCGGUAAGUCAGCUGUGAAAGUCAAGGGCUCAACCCUUGAAAGCCGGUUGAUACUGUCGGGCUAGAGUCCGGAAGAGGCGAGUGGAAUUCCCGGUGUAGCGGUGAAAUGCGUAGAUAUCGGAAGGAACACCAGUGGCGAAAGCGGCUUCCUGGUCCAGCACCGACGUUCAGGCACGAAAGCGUGGGGGCAAACAGG
rnacentral:rRNA from 1 species